UACGUAGGGUGCGAGCGUUAAUCGGAAUUACUGGGCGUAAAGCGUGCGCAGGCGGUUUCGUAAGACAGGCGUGAAAUCCCCGGGCUCAACCUGGGAACUGCGCUUGUGACUGCGAGGCUAGAGUGUGUCAGAGGGAGGUGGAAUUCCACGUGUAGCAGUGAAAUGCGUAGAGAUGUGGAGGAACACCGAUGGCGAAGGCAGCCUCCUGGGCCUGCACUGACGCUCAUGCACGAAAGCGUGGGGAGCAAACAGG
rnacentral:rRNA from 1 species